rnacentral:rRNA from 1 species
GACGAACGCUGGCGGCGUGCUUAACACAUGCAAGUCGAACGGAAAGGCCCUGCCUUUGUGGGGUGCUCGAGUGGCGAACGGGUGAGUAACACGUGAGUAACCUGCCCUUGACUUUGGGAUAACUUCAGGAAACUGGGGCUAAUACCGGAUAGGAGCUCCUGCUGCAUGGUGGGGGUUGGAAAGUUUCGGCGGGUGGGGAUGGACUCGCGGCUUAUCAGCUUGUUGGUGGGGUAGUGGCUUACCAAGGCUUUGACGGGUAGCCGGCCUGAGAGGGUGACCGGCCACAUUGGGACUGAGAUACGGCCCAGACUCCUACGGGAGGCAGCAGUGGGGAAUAUUGCACAAUGGGCGGAAGCCUGAUGCAGCAACGCCGCGUGCGGGAUGACGGCCUUCGGGUUGUAAACCGCUUUCGCCUGUGACGAAGCGUGAGUGACGGUAAUGGGUAAAGAAGCACCGGCUAACUACGUG